CGGUACUCAAACGUGUAAAAGCACACGAUGUUAAAUGAAACUUCUCUAGCGGCAACUUGUUGAUCCUCCUGGCAGCUGUACAAUAUUUAGCUAUUACUGUCUCAUUUGUCUUCGUUCUGGUUGUCCGAGAAGACGAGAGACCGUAACCGGACCGUAACUUGAUUCCAAGACAUCUCAGUAUUAUGGCCAUGGAGGGUGGAAGAAGCAGAGAAUGAGGUAGAACAUGUUAGUGCUCAAGAUAAAAUUCCUUAGAGAUGGGCGAUACUCUUGAGUGGCCAACCACAUAGAAAGAUGAAUUUAAGGUCUUGCAAAGAAGGGGACGGGGCAUAUGAUGCCAUUUACCUUUUGGAAGUCAUCUGGUUACAUGAUGCGCCAUCAUAAGUGGCCUUCAAGUCAUAAUGUGGAAAUAAUAGAGAAGAGAAACAAAGAAACAUUUCUCCAAAAGAUUGGAAGCUUAAUUGCAGAAAAUCUGAUCGUCUUAUUUUAAAAAAGUACACGAACAAGACCAUGGAAUGUCUCAUCUAGACUUGUGCACUUUCCCUUAACAGAUUUAGCUUUAUUAAAAAUUGCAAUGGUCUGAGGUAACAGUUAUAGAAAUGAAAUGGCUGAGAAGAAGCUAAAGGGAACUCGUGAAGAGUAGAGAUAGAGAAAAGUGCAUGUGGGGCUGAAAGGAUACCAGGACUCAGAUAUGACCUCCUGCUGGGAUGUACUCCAAGUCAGUUGUAAGAUCACCAGUACUGUGUUUCUCCCAUAAAUGGAAACUUGGAAUAAUUUGCAUGUGCAUAAUACUACAUAUCACCUUGCACUCUUUCCUUCUUGUGACUGAAAUGGUUACCAUUUGUACUGUGUAUGUAUAUACUGAUGUUAUUCCAUUACUACAUCUGUUCCAUUAGAUAUUCUAUCCUGGUGGUUAAUAGCCUUUCAAACUUGUUCUAAAUGUAUGAAGUGUUUUCCAGUUUUCAAUAGGCAUUUGUUUCCAUGCUUUCUGGUUGAUUCCUUAAUGACUUAUCUCUUGCUGCUUUAUUAAUUCGCAGGAUUCUCUGAACCUCUACAGAUGUUGCAUUCCGUAUUGCUCCCCCAACAUAUUUUGUAAGCAUUCUUCGGUUUUUAUUUUUUCUCUUCCCAGAAGACUCUUGAACCAUUGCCUUUGCUGUACUACCUUGUCUCUAUCUUAUACUUUUUCCCUUUCACAUCGUAUUGUAGGGAUUUCUUCUUUCACCCAUUUGGUGGAGGAUGAUGGGAACAAAUGUGGAGGUUACUAAAUAAAAAUCUGACUUUCCUUAACUUACUUUAUUAACUUAACCUACAGAACUGUAACAACCUAAAUUAUCACUCUUAAUACUGCAACAACCAUAAAAAAGAAUCUUCCUGAAAUACUCAACCUAAAUCUACCACGAACACCAAAAUGUACCUUAACAUAAUUCAUCAACCUUAAUAUGCAACGGCUACCAAAAAGGACACUAAUUUAACUCCUCAACUUUAAUUUACAACGACUUCUAAAAAGAACCUUAACCUAAUUCAUCAAUGCCAAUAUGUACUACAGUUUUUUCCCCAACUGUGGUCUUUGAGACUUCCUCAGAUUAUCAUUUCGUAGAUGUCCUUCUUCCUACUAGAUCAACAUCUAGUUUUGUUCCUUUUCAACUUCUGUAGAACUUUCUUUGCUGCAUGUGAAGAUUAGCACCUAUUAGGAUUCAGCGGUGCAUAUGGAGGAAGAGGGGAGAAGGGCAGCCUGAUCACAUUUUUUUGUUUCUGCAAUCUGGCAGCUUUGCUUGCAUUCUCUCCCUAUGUUUCUUAUCACUUCUCUCCCUUAUCCCUUCCUCUAUUUACAACAGCUCUUCUAAUUGUCGUUUUCUUUGUAGUAAAUCUUUCUCUGCUGUUUCACUGUCCCUUUCACAAAGUUCCAAUCCUUUAUCCUCCAAAGGAAAAUCUGUUCUUACGUUUGUGCUUCUUUGAUUUUUUCCUCCACAGUUUAAGUGAAGUGGAGCUCCUCACUCUACCCUACCACACUCAAGCAAACCAAGUAAAAAAGAAAGAAAAAGAAAGAUUAAUAAAACAAUUAUACAUACUGAGAGACAUAAAUAAACAUAAUAAAAAACAAAAUUCAAUCCCACAAACCCAUUUU